rnacentral:rRNA from 1 species
UACGUAGGGGGCAAGCGUUGUUCGGAAUUACUGGGCGUAAAGGGCGCGUAGGCGGCAUGGCAAAUCGGGAGUGAAAGCCCGGGGCUCAACCCCGGAACGGCUUUCGAAACUGCCAAGCUAGAGUACGGAAGGGGCAACUGGAAUUCCCAGUGUAGCGGUGAAAUGCGUAGAUAUUGGGAAGAACACCGGAGGCGAAGGCGGGUUGCUGGGCCGAUACUGACGCUGAGGCGCGAAAGCCAGGGGAGCAAACGGG